rnacentral:RNase_P_RNA from 1 species
AGAGAGGGCGAGACGAUCGCUUCAUGCCAUCGGUGUGGAGAGGAAAGUCCGGGCUCCGCAGGACAGGAUGGUCGAUAACGUCGACCGACCGCGAGGUUAGGGCAAGUGCCACAGAAAACAGACCGCCGAACGGUCCGUUUCAGCAUCGUCGCUCCGGCGAUGAUCUGAUGCGGAUGCGUGGUAAGGGUGAAACGGUGCGGUAAGAGCGCACCAGCGAUCGAGGUGACUCGUUCGGCUUGGUAAACCCCAUCUGGAGCUAGACCAAACAGGGUGCAGUCAUUUGACUUGUCAAAUGCGCGAAGCGGUCCGUUUCGUAAUGACAUCCGGGUAGGUCGCGAUGGAGGCGACGAGCAAUCGUCGUGCAAAGAUAAAUGAUCGUCGGCGAACGCCUUCGGGUGUUCGCAACAGAACCCGGCUUACAUGCCCUCUCUCAGU